AUCCAGGUGACAAGUCCCAAAUAGGACGAAACGCGCGUCAAACUAGAU
rnacentral:hammerhead_ribozyme from 1 species